rnacentral:rRNA from 1 species
UAGGGGAUCUUCCGCAAUGGACGAAAGUCUGACGGAGCAACGCCGCGUGAGUGAAGAAGGAUUUCGGUUCGUAAAACUCUGUUGUUAGGGAAGAAAAAAUGUAUAGUAACUAUAUACAAAAGAGACGGUACCUAACCAGAAAGUCACGGCUAACUACGUGCCAGCAGCCGCGGUAAUACGUAGGUGGCAAGCGUUGUCCGGAAUUAUUGGGCGUAAAGCGCGCGCAGGUGGUUUAGAAAGUCUGAUGUGAAAGCCCACGGCUCAACCGUGGAGGGUCAUUGGAAACUAAUAAACUUGAGUGCAGGAGAGAAAAGUGGAAUUCCUAGUGUAGCGGUGAAAUGCGUAGAGAUUAGGAGGAACACCGGUGGCGAAAGCGGCUUUUUGGCCUGCAACUGACACUGAGGCGCGAAAGCGUGGGGAGCAAACAGG